UCCACCACACACGCACGCGCACGACUCUCUCCGCCUCUUCUCUCAACACGCCCACGAGACUAGUUCGUUCCCCUCUCGCAUUGACUCCCUCCUGGCGAUGUGCCCGCCGCCGCUUCAAUUCCGGCCGCCUCCGGCCCUCUCCACCGCCGGCGUGAUGGGGCUUUGCUCCGCCAUGCUGCUCUCUACCGCCUCCUCCCGGUCGAUUUGAUCCUCAUGGUCUUACUCAGCCGCCCCCAACCAGAGAACCCUAGUUGCUUCCCGGCGCCGCUCCGGCCGAUGUUGGCCGCAUCCGACGCCGCUGCCCGCUGGAGCUGUUCCACCACCAGCUCGCCCUUCUCCUCCACCAGCUCCACCCCACCGCGACGCCCCCUAGCACUCGCAGUCACCCCGUGGCCAACCCUAGCCCGCCACAAUUCGGCUCGCCGCCGGCGUGAUUCCGCGCUGCUGCGCCUCCGGAUGGUUCCUCCUCGGCGACCUUGACUUCCACCUCGAGCCGUAGCUCGACCUUGCUGUGUCGGCCUACUCGAUUCUAUGGUGGUCUGAUGGUGUGGUGUGGUGUUGCUGCUGCCCGCUGACCGUCGCACCAUGGUGCGGUCGGCCGACCUCUGCUUCGACGACCUCGCAGCCUCCCUCGACUACGGCUUCGCCUGCACGCCCACGGCAAAACCUAGCCCGCCGUUGGCUUGGUCGCUGCCGGCAUGGUGCCCGCGCCGUCGCGUCUUCAGCUUCCUCCUCCUCGACGCCGGCGGAAUUGUGCCGCGGCCUCAACCCCGGCAUCGACUACAUUAUCUACUACCCCUACUGCGAUGCAUGCUAGUGUGGCCUAGUUGCUGGAUCUAGAUGAUCCAUGUGUAUGUGGUUGUGCAAAGUGAGUACCUUGCUAGUUUCGUGGACCUGGUUUGCUUGCUGGCUUCACUGAGAGUCUCUCUCUUUCUACUAUUCACUGGUAAGAACAGAAGUAUGCUUGCUCUAGCCAAUGAUACAUAAAUUGAGGCACAGAUUGAAAUAAGCACAGAUACUAUGGUGCCUGAAAUUCUCUAUGAUGAAUCUUGCAUAGCACCUACGUGCAGAUCUGAGAGGAAUCACUUCUCAUGAAAACUGAUGAUUUAUAGUUUGAUCUUAGUCUAUUUUAUUGCUUGCAAAUACUGCCCAUGUGCUAUCUUUUAAGAUUUGAUACUCUCUGUGGUGCCUCUUAAGAGUGUGCACAGGGAUAUUUCUUACUUAGCAAGAUUAGUGUUGUGGGUAGUUUUGUAGGGUGAUUUAUUAGACUUGGAUCAUAACUAUGAUCAGAUGAUGUUAAAAUC